UUAAGAAUGAAUUAUUGUCCAGUUAAUAAAAGGACUAUCCCUUGAUGUCAUGUCAAGCGUCGGACUACUUUUUAUGUAAAGAAAGUUCUAACAUAAUAACAUGUCACACUUUUAAAUUACAUCUUCAAAGCUAAAACUCCCUUUUCGAUCUCUCCUCAAUUCAAAUAUAAAAUUGAUGUUUAAUCACCAUAGAAAUCAUCAAUACAAUGGUCGUGUAAGUUACCUUUUCCAGUAAAG
rnacentral:lncRNA from 1 species